ACCUUGUGAACUUAUUAUAAGGAACUAGGCAAAAUUGAUUUCCGGCUGUUUAUCAAAAACGUGUCCUCUUGUUUAUAUUUUGAGGUCUGGCCUGCUCACUGAGCGUAUUUUUAAAGAGCCGCGGUAUUUUGACCGUGCAAAGGUAGCAUAAUCAUUAGUCUCUUAAUUAGUGGCUGGAAUGAAUGGCUUGACGAGAAAUCAACUGUCUCUUAAUAAAUUUUUGAAUUUAACUUUUGAGUCAAAAGGCUUAAAUUCUUCUUUAGGACGAGAAGACCCUAUAGAGCUUGACAUUUUACUUUUCUAUAGUUUUUUGUUUGUCUUUCUAUAUUUAAUGAUGAUGUUUUGUUGAGGUGACAUGAAGAAUAGAUAAACUCUUCAUUAUUAUAUCAUUUAUUUAUGUUUGUUAUUUUGAUCCAUAAUUUAUGAUCAUAAGAUUAAGUUACCUUAGGGAUAACAGCGUAAUUGUUUUUGAGAGCUCAUAUCGACAAAGCAGAUUGCGACCUCGUUGUUGGAUUAAGAAAAAUUUUGGGUGCAGGAGCCCAAUGAUUAGGUCUGUUCGACCUUUAAAUUCUUACAUGAUCUGAGUUCAGACCGGCGUGAGCCAGGUCGGUUUCUAUCCUAAGAUUGUUAAUCCAUAUUAGUACGAAAGGACCAUAUGGUUAAAAUAUUUUUUGUUAUAUUGAUUAAUAUUAAUUUAUUUA